rnacentral:RNase_P_RNA from 1 species
ACUGUCUUGUCCUCGGGAUGAGUUCUGCUCACUUUCGAGUCCCUUGCAAAUGAGAAAUUCGGAGGAAUCUUCAACCCACACCCAGUAACCCGCUUGACCCCUCGGGGAAAAAGCCGGUACUGCCCGUGAGGGCCUGGUGUGAAUCACGACCACACCUGCAACCGGCAUCAGAAACAUCGGGGCUUCAAACACCCCAUGGGAGAGUCGUUGCGAAGAUUGUGUGUGCGGUUCUUGCCGUGCGACACUUAAGUGCAAUACGCAGCAUACCGUGUUCCCUCUUCCUCCCUUUUGGAAGGAGGGGGGAUGGUAUCAUUCGAUUCCGAUUAUUCUGGU